rnacentral:lncRNA from 1 species
CUCUGAGUUCGGGAGGAAAGCCUUGAAAUCCAGGUAGGGGACCCAGAACUCCCUUGAUUAGUGCAAUUUCAUUUUAUAUAAAUGUCUAUGCAUAUUUGAUAUUGCAUGAUUCGGUUAUCAUAAAAAUGGUAACUGGUGUUAUGAGAUUUUGAUGGCUUGAGAGUGAGUGGGGCAUAGCGACUUCCUUGGGCUUUAAUACCCUAAACCUCCGGAGGGGCUGUAUGCACCGAAGAGUGUCUGACAUCCUUUGAGGUGUGACACUGCUCCUAGGAGAUACGGCGUAAGUGGACACUCUCACUACACUUACAUGUUGUACACACAUAUAGUGAGGUAAGUUAAUAGUGGGUCUACAAAUGACCGGCCAUCAGGUACAGUUUUAUGGCGCCGCAUUUAUUUGAUCAUAGAAAUGUUUUUGAAAGUUUGUCGUUCAUUAAAUAUUUGGAUUCAAUCUUUUUGUUAUACUGGGCCCUAUGAAACUAUUAUUUAUCUGUUUUCAAACCUAGUUAAGGGUAAAGUUCCUUGAGCAGUGAGGACGAAAGCUCACCCCUACAACAGUUUGGUUGGAGGUACUAUGCAUUGGGACGGGAUAGUGACAAGGAGUUGGGUGUGCAUAUUUAUGAUCGGUAAUUUUGGGUUUCCAUGAUGUUCCCUUUAUUUUUGUACUUAGAGUUACAUUGUUAGAAAUUCUAUUUUGUUGGUCUUGUUAUGUCCUCAUUCGUAAGUCUAUUCCUUGAAGUUCGUUAAUUAUCGUUCAUUUCUUACAUUAAGUUUUAGGCGAAUGAAAGAGUCAAAUUCUUUUAUGGGUUUGCUUUAUGACAUUUUCAUUGGAGUUUGUAUUACUUUGAGUUCGUCAUUUUAUAACCAUUCCUCGUAUCAGGUUUUGGGCGAAUAAAAGUACUUUAAGAAAAAUAAAGAUUUUACACCUCAAAAUAUUUUUACGCUUCUGUUGUGUUUUUCUUAAAUGUUUUCUUAAAUCAACUGCCUUGCGUUUCUCUUUGUUUUAUUUAGAGACUUGUGACACUGAGACGUGUCUAAACUGAGGAGGUGCAGUUUGGGACGUUACAAGUUUGAUGGGGUGAUUGUGUUAUUAUUUAUGUUAUUACAUGAAUUGUUUGGGAUAUUGGAUUAUUUGGUAUUGAUUUGUUUGACAUUGAGUUCUUUGAUAUGAAUUGGAAUAAGUAUUGGAUGAUAUUGAACUUUUGAAUCGAUUAUGACAUGUUUAUAUUAGAAAACAUGUGAUUCUAUUUUGAAAUUAUAUUACAUUUGUCAUGGGAAAUGAGGUUGGAGAUUAAAAGAAGAAUCGAGUGUUUUGGGAUAUAUGGAACUUUAUUAUUAGGAAACCAUUUGUGUAGUUGAGUUUUCUCAUGGGUUAUCCUCAGGAUCUAUGAUUAGCCCACAUGUGCACAAAUUUGGAGAAUGUAUGCCCCAUCAGCGGCGGACGUCGAUAAAACGAUCUUAUCAAGUUGCGGAUCGGGAGACCAUGAGUAUAACAAGACGACUAACAAAGGGAAAAAUUAUAUUCGAGGGUGAAGUGAGGUGUGGGGUAAGAGUUAAGUUCAUAUUAUAUUUAUGUAUUCCCGAUAUGUCAUAUUUGUUUGUUUUUGUUUGAAGUUAAUGCCAUGUGUAUUUAGCAAUUUAACUAGCUCUACUGAGCGUAGCUCACCCUUAAUCAAACUCAUUGCAGGUGUGGACCUUGAAACAUCGUGUAUGUUAUAUUGUAAAUUAAGAUUUUUUAGUUUUCUUUGUAAAUAGGGCUUAAAUAAAUAAUGGAUGUUUCGAAAAAAAAUGCUAUUUUUGUUUGUUUGUUGUGUGCUUGUAAUGUUUUAAACAUUUUGUACUAUAAGUGUCUUCUUAUAAGGCUUGUAACGUAAAUAAAGGUUCAAAG